CCUACGGGAGGCAGCAGUGAGGAAUAUUGGACAAUGGUCGGAAGACUGAUCCAGCCAUGCCGCGUGCAGGAAGACGGCCUUAUGGGUUGUAAACUGCUUUUGCAGGGGAAGAAUAAGGAGUACGUGUACUUUGAUGACGGUACUCUGCGAAUAAGCAUCGGCUAACUCCGUGCCAGCAGCCGCGGUAAUACGGAGGAUGCGAGCGUUAUCCGGAAUCAUUGGGUUUAAAGGGUCUGUAGGCGGGCUAUUAAGUCAGGGGUGAAAUGUUUCAGCUUAACUGGGAAAUUGCCUUUGAUACUGGUAGUCUUGAAUAUCUGUGAAGUUCUUGGAAUGUGUAGUGUAGCGGUGAAAUGCUUAGAUAUUACACAGAACACCGAUAGGAAGGCAUAUUACUAACAAUUGAUUGACGCUGAUGGACGAAAGCGUGGGGAGCGAACAGGAUUAGAUACCCUGGUGGUCCACGCUGUAAACGAUGGAUACUAGCUGUUUGGAGCAAUCUGAGUGGCUAAGCGAAAGUGAUAAGUAUCCCACCUGGGGAGUACGCACGCAAGUGUGAAACUCAAAGGAAUUGACGG
rnacentral:rRNA from 1 species